GAUGAACGCUAGCUACAGGCUUAACACAUGCAAGUCGAGGGGAAACGACAUCGAAAGCUUGCUUUUGAUGGGCGUCGACCGGCGCACGGGUGAGUAACGCGUAUCCAACCUGCCCACCACUUGGGGAUAACCUUGCGAAAGUAAGACUAAUACCCAAUGACGUCUCUAGAAGACAUCUGAAAGAGAUUAAAGAUUUAUCGGUGAUGGAUGGGGAUGCGUCUGAUUAGCUUGUUGGCGGGGUAACGGCCCACCAAGGCGACGAUCAGUAGGGGUUCUGAGAGGAAGGUCCCCCACAUUGGAACUGAGACACGGUCCAAACUCCUACGGGAGGCAGCAGUGAGGAAUAUUGGUCAAUGGACGGGAGUCUGAACUAGCCAAGUAGCGUGCAGGAUGACGGCCCUAUGGGUUGUAAACUGCUUUUAUAAGGGAAUAAAGUGAGUCUCGUGAGACUUUUUGCAUGUACCUUAUGAAUAAGGACCGGCUAAUUCCGUG
rnacentral:rRNA from 1 species